UUGCUAAUUGGCUAUAAAUAAAGACCUUAAAAAUUAUAUGUUUGAGUAGAGCUACUAUACUAUCGGAAGUAUAGAGGAUAUGGUGUUUUCGACUUUUUGACCCUUAGAUCAAUCCUUUUGAUCAUUUCUUAUAUUUGGAUUAAUAAUAUUAUCCUGUGGAGACUACUCAACUCAAGAGUACUACUCAACUCUAGGGCGGACCGCAAUCAUCCAACCAUAUAAUUUUUGAUCCAAUGAUCAAAAAGUCAUAAGCAUUAACUUAUCUAUACUUCUAUAGCAUAGUAGCUCUACACUAUAUAUAUAUAU
rnacentral:lncRNA from 1 species